GUGCUCACUUUGGCAGCACAUAUACUAAAAUUGGAAUGAUAGAGAAGAUUAGCAUGCCCCUGUGCAAAUAUGACACACAAAUUCGUGAAGUGUUCCAUAUUUUU